CCCCUUUGGCAUACAAUGGGCUAAUCGUUCUGUGAUUUGAUAUUAUUAGCUUGCUAGGACUUUAUAGCUGAACAUGAAGUUUAUCCGAUUGAUAGAUUAUUUUUCUAAAAUAGUAGCCAACUUUUGCUAGUCAUUCUUAUUGGAUUUGUUUAGAAUUUUCACGAGUUUUCAAAGUGAAAAUUUUGAAAAAUAUACCGCUAAAAAUUAUUGUGUAAAAAAAGCACUACCUUUAAAAAACCUGCACACAAAAUACCAGAUUAAAUUGUUAAACAAAUUCCAAGUCCCCAAUCUAUCAAAAAAAGUUUCCUUGCCAGGUAAAAAAGAGUUUAAAUAAAGGGGCUUAAGUGGGCUAAGUUCGUUUUUUCAUCGGUAUGGCACGCUGAAAAGGCGCCAUUCUUAAGAAGCGUCCCUCCAUUUUUUUUAAACUCCUAAAUAAUUACUGCUCGACGUCAUAAUGCAGCGCCACAGGGAAUUAUAUAAACAGCAAUCACUUGCUUUCAGCCCACGCAAUUUCAAUGAGCAGAACCGGGAACUCCAGAAUGCGGCGCGUGCAAAACAGCGCGAGGAUCGUUUUCAAAGCAACCGCAUUAUUAGUGUUAGUCCAACUCCCGUCAAGCGUGCGGCACCUAUACCGCCCUCAGAGGAGGCGCAGCCACGCCUUACCUAUGUCGCUCCUCCUAAGGAGAAUCGAAAACCAGAGCUGCCUCAGCAGCAGAGGAACCCCACCCGGGACCUUUACAUAAAGCGCUUCGUGGAUUGGAAGGCUGCCAGGAAGGAACAAACAAAG